UACGUAGGGUGCAAGCGUUGUCCGGAAUUAUUGGGCGUAAAGAGCUCGUAGGCGGUCUGUCGCGUCUGCUGUGAAAACUCGGGGCUUAACCCCGGGCCUGCAGUGGGUACGGGCAGACUAGAGUGCGGUAGGGGAGAGCUGGAAUUCCUGGUGUAGCGGUGAAAUGCGCAGAUAUCAGGAGGAACACCAGUGGCGAAGGCGGAUCUCUGGGCCUUACCUGACGCUGAGGCGCGAAAGCUAGGGGAGCAAACAGG
rnacentral:rRNA from 1 species